GACGAACGCUGGCGGCGUGCUUAACACAUGCAAGUCGAACGGUGAAGCGCCUUCCUUUUUGGUGGGUGUGGAUGAGCGGCGAACGGGUGAGUAACACGUGAGUAACCUGCCCCCUUCUUCUGGAUAACCGCAUGAAAGUGUGGCUAAUACGGGAUAUUCUGGUUCUGUCGCAUGAUGGGUCUGGGAAAGAUAUUGUUUCGGUGGGGGAUGGGCUCGCGGCCUAUCAGCUUGUUGGUUGGGUGAUGGCUUACCAAGGCGGUGACGGGUAGCCGGCCUGAGAGGGUGGACGGUCACACUGGGAAUGAGACACGGCCCAGACUCGUACGAGAGGCAGCAGUGGGGAAUAUUGCACGAUGCGCGCAAGCCUGAUGCAGCGACGCCGCGUGAGGGAUGGAGGACUUCGGGUUGUGAACCUCUUUCGCCAGUGAAGCAGGCCUGCCUCGUUUGUGGGUGGGUUGACGGUAGCUGGAUAAGAAGCGCCGGCUAACUACGUG
rnacentral:rRNA from 1 species